AGUGAACGCUGGCGGUAGGCCUAACACAUGCAAGUCGAACGGCAACACAGUAAGAGCUUGCUCUUACGGGUGGCGAGUGGCGGACGGGUGACGAAUACAUCGGCAUCUUCUUUUUCGGGGGGGAUAACGUAGGGAAACUUACGCUAAUACCUCAUACGACCUACGGCUGAAAGCAGCGGAGCUUCGCACUUUGCGCGAUUGAAUGAGCCGAUGUCGGAUUAGCUAGUUGGCGGGGUAAAGGCCCACCAAGGCGACGGUCCGUAGCUGGUCUGAGAGGAUGAUCAGCCACACUGGAACUGAGACACGGUCCAGACUCCUACGGGAGGCAGCAGUGGGGAAUAUUGGACAAUGGGCGCAAGCCUGAUCCAGCCAUACCGGGUGGGUGAAGAAGGCCUUCGGGUUGUAAAGCCCUUUUGUUGGGAAAGAAAAGCAGCAGGUUAAUACCCCGCUGUUCUGACGGUACCCAAAGAAUAAGCACCGGCUAACUUCGUG
rnacentral:rRNA from 1 species